rnacentral:siRNA from 1 species
CCAAUCAGGAGAUGCCACGUAAA